AGCGGUUUCUCUUUCUCUUUUUCUCUCUCUGUCUAUCUCUCUUUGUUUUCUCUUUUUCUCUCUCUACUAAGGGCUCAUCGGCCUCGUUGAGACAUCCGUGAUUUGUCGGGUUGAGAUACGGGGGUUGAGGUGUGCGUCUGGCUUAUUGAGACAUCCGAAGCGUUGUCGGAUUGAGAAAUAAGUGGCGUUGUAUAUUAAAGAAUUAAGAAGUCUGCUAGGUUGAGAAACGGGGGUCCCGGUUCGCGGGUCUGCUUCGUUGAGACACCUGGGGCUUAUUUUAAGAGUUAAGACGUCUGCCAGGUUGAGAAACGGGGGUCUUGGUUAGCAAGUCGGCUUCGUUGAGACACUUGGGUCGUAUAUUAAAGAGUUAAAAAAGGUCAGCCAAAUUGAGAAACUGGGGUCUCGAGUAGCGAGUCGGCCUGGUUGAUAUAUUUGGAACUAUUCGGAAUUAAAAAGUCAGCCAAAUUGAGAAACUGGGGUCUCAUUUAGUGGGUCGGCCUGGUUGAUAUAUUUGGAACGAUUCGGAAUUAAGAAGUCUGUUUUCUCUCUCUCUCUUUCUAUCUAUCUAUGGGGAAUGCUCUGGAAACCAGUCCUAUAUAUGUGUUAUUUGAAUCCUAAGUAUAAUAAGAAAUUUAGAAUGUUAAGUUACAAGUUGACCAAAUGGUUAGGGGAUGAAGCCUGGCCUGUAGGGGGCACAUGGUAUGUUGAGACAAUUAAAUAAGCAGAGGUGUUGAUAUGGGAAAGGAAGACAGGAAAGAAAUGGAAGAAAGGAAUUAAAACAUGGAAAUCAGGAACAGAGGAGAAGCAUGAGGAGAGUAGAGUUCGAAGUUGGAUGGAUACUGCAUGUAAGAAGGGGAUAGAGUAGGUAUGUUACAAAACCUACCUGAAUUGUCAAUGAGAAUCUGCCCAGGCCGUGUGCGUGCUUUUGGCGCUGUUUAGAGGGGGCAGGUUUAAAACGCGAUUUUUACUGGGCUGUUGCAGUCAAAAAUGUUCAGCCUAGUGAAUCAUUGACGGAGAAUCGCUGGGGGACCCCGUCGCAAAGGGUGUUAUUGGUUUUUAUGGCCUUGUAUGGUGGUUGUAGUAGUUUGGAGGUCAUUCUCUAGAUCCUCGACCUCUCGCAGUCCCAGGGUUUUAUAAAGCAAACAAGUACCGGUAUGUACUUUAUGUUUACAUUAAAAGGGGCUUCUUAAGAACCCUGUAAAUAAAGUUUUCUAUAGCGAGUAGCUCAUUUUGGGCUUUUUAUAUCCCGCAGUAUUUUUCUUCACAGGAACCCACUAGAAAGCCGAUUUAAGGUGGGCUUUGGUUUACAGCAAUUGAACACUAAAUUCCUUCCAUUUGGCCUAUAAAUUGAUGUAAAUGAGAUUUAAAAAUCAUGUUUUAUUGUGAAUUAUUUGUGAAUAUAAUUUGGACACUUAGGCUAUUUAAAAAUGUUAAUCAUUUAUUAAGAAAUAGAUAUAUGUUUAGAUCUAGUAAUUGAAGUUUGAAAUUAGCUACAAUUGGGUAACUAACUAAUUAUAUGCUUUUAUUUCAGGUCAUCCAAGUAAGAUUAUUUUAUAUUUGUGUCAGAAUGGUUUAAUCUAUGAUAACUGAAAAUUUCAUUCAGUUCUCUUAAUUUUUAAGAAGGUUAUGGGCUUUUGACGGUCCAUGAUCACAGUUUUUUUGUUAUGUCCAUAGAAAAUCAAUAGGGAACAAGAUGCUAAUUUCCGAGUAUGAAAAUGGCCAUAACCUUUUUAUUACUUGAGAUAUGAAAGUGAAUUAGGUGUCAAAUUAAACUUAUUGUUAUGCUUUAUCUGAUGGGAUAAAUUGCAGACUUGAUUUUUUUUAAAUCUCACAAUUUUGUAACUUUGCUAGAUAGAGUUAAGAAACUAGGAUAGCACUAGGAAAGGAUGGAAUUAAUUGCAACUAGAAUGCCAGUGGGCAGAGGAACAAGAGAAUAGAAUUAAAAGACAGGCAGGAGGUGAGAAACAGGUGAUGGUUCGUAAAAAAUAAACCCAGUACUGGUAAAUCCUCUGGAGGAGACUUCAUGUCUGGCACGACGACCCUAUUUGGUAAUGAAAAUGAGGAGGAGUUAGAUAAUCUUGUGAGAUGUCCACCUCCCUAUGCCCUACCAGUAGCAAUGGCAUCUUUACCUGGGACAGUUCCAUCAGUAACAUCCCUAUACCUUGAAGUUCUGACCUUACAAAGCUCUCCAGGAUUGGGAGCACGGGAAUGCCUUUCUGUGCGUAAUUUGUUUAAGGCAUUGAUGCUACCAGAACAGCUGAUCAUUAUUAAAUGUACUGCACACACUGGUGCUGGGGACCCUAUAGCAAAAGGUAAUGAAUUUGCCGAUAGUGUAUCCAAGCAAGCAGCCUGUACAUCCAAAUGCGUGGUGACAUCUGGUAAACAGAUACUAGCAAAUAGAACGGUCCUGCCAGAUAUGAGGGAGGUAUGUACAUUACAGAGGGACGCCUCUUGUAUAUAAUAAUAACUAUGGAAACAAGAGGGCUGUGCCAUUGAUUCAGCACACCCCGCUUGGACAAGUUGGUGUAUAACGAUACAUUUUUACCCGUCUUACCCAUGCUGGUAAGGAGGGAAUGAUAGGAUAACAAAGGAAAUGUGGUGGCACCCGAAAAUUUGAUGAGGCACUGAAGCAGGCCUCUGAAUGUAAAAUUUGCCAAUGAAAUAAUCCAGGCAAACCAUUUUAAGAUACCCUCAGGGGUGACACCAAUGCCAUCAUGAUCGUUUGAAUGCAUACAGAUUGAUUUUAUUGAGAUGCCAAGGGCCCAGUGUUAUAAAUAUUGCGUAGUGAUUUUAGAUUUAUUUAGUAGGUGGAGUAAAGCUCUACCAACCACCAAUAAUAAGGAAAUAUGUGCACAUUUUAAUAUCCAACAGCAAUUCACUGUGUACACCACCCACAGGCAUCUGGGAUGGUGGAAAGAGUCAAUGGGGAUUGCAAAACAAAAUUACCCAGGAGAUCUACAUUCCCAGGUUGGAGGAGCUUUGCUGGGAGCCAUAAAAGCUAUACGAUGGGGGUGCUGGGACAAGAAGAAAUUGAAACUGUAUUGAAAAGAACAACCAAGUGUUGCUAACAACAUGAACUGCUGUAAAGAUUGAAGAUCAUCAUCGCUGGAUACAUUUGAUUGACUGUGAACAGUUUGUGGAAACAGGGACGAUGGGCUAUUGAUGUUCCUUUAUUCUGGGGUGGCCCAGCCCACAUGGACUGAACUUUCUUCAGAAUGGCAAACUUGCGGACUAACACACAUUUAAAGGAUGGUACACACCUCCUUUUAAACAAGAUUUAAGUCAAACAUGACAAGCACAGCAAAGAUACCCUGACUACAGACAGUAAGAGGUCUGCAAAGGCCAGUUAAAUCUACCUGUUUUUGCCACAACCAAGGCACUGGUGUAUUUUAAGGAAACAGUAUAUUUGUGACAGGGCAUUGUUAUGUUGCAAAUGCAGUGCCACACAAGAGAAGCAUGAACCAGUUACACCAGCACACAGGGAAAUCCAAAUGAAGCCGAAUAAAGGCUGAGCAAUUUUUAUGAUCCUUUUCCUGUCCUAUGGUAGUAUCUUAGUGUCACAUCCGGGGGAGGUUGGUGGCCAUUUAAAAUGUUUGGAGGGACUUGUGAAACGAUUGUCCACUAUGAAUUGAUUGUGUUACUAGUGUACUAUUAAUUUGUCUGAUGAGAUGCUUAUGGUCUUUCGUAUGUACUCAGCAAGGACUGUAGUUGUUAUCAAAAUUUUGAUAAAAGGAUGGAAUGAUGAAGCC